GACGAACGCUGGCGGCGUGCUUAACACAUGCAAGUCGAACGGAGAGGCCCUGCUUUUGUGGGGUGCUCGAGUGGCGAACGGGUGAGUAACACGUGAGUAACCUGCCCUUGACUUUGGGAUAACUUCAGGAAACUGGGGCUAAUACCGGAUAGGAGCUCCUGCUGCAUGGUGGGGGUUGGAAAGUUUCGGCGGUUGGGGAUGGACUCGCGGCUUAUCAGCUUGUUGGUGGGGUAGUGGCUUACCAAGGCUUUGACGGGUAGCCGGCCUGAGAGGGUGACCGGCCACAUUGGGACUGAGAUACGGCCCAGACUCCUACGGGAGGCAGCAGUGGGGAAUAGUGCACAAUGGGCGGAAGCCUGAUGCAGCAACGCCGCGUGCGGGAUGACGGCCUUCGGGUUGUAAACCGCUUUCGCCUGUGACGAAGCGUGAGUGACGGUAAUGGGUAAAGAAGCACCGGCUAACUACGUG
rnacentral:rRNA from 1 species